rnacentral:tRNA from 2 species
GCGGCCGUAGCUCAGUUGGUAGAGCUCCAGCUUCCCAAGCUGGUUGUCGAGGGUUCGAGUCCCUUCGGCCGCUCCA